GCUUCCUCCUUCCUCAUUCCUUUGAGCAGAACACGCCCAGCCUCAACCAGGGAAAAACCCUAGCCGCCACCACCGCUACAGGGAGGAGCCGUGUUUGCCGCCGUCUGUCGCAGUCAGAGGAUUGUCUCCUCGAGUCUUCGUGCGUCACAGUCAGGGGAGUUCUUGAAGUCUUCGAUCUGUUCGCAGUCACCAGUCGCACGUGUACCGCUUCUUCCUUGAGCUCGACGGCCGUCGUGUUGUCGCUGUUGUUUGUCGCCAUUUAUCGCAGUCAGGGGUUUGUCUCUAAGGAGUGGCUGUUCGAGGAAUUUCUCUUCGUACUGUUGGCAUUAUCCAAGUCAAACCCCCUGUUCGCUGUCUUCUUCCUCGCUUGGCGACCAUCCUCCAUUGGAUUCAUCCUGCUCGCCAUCGUCCUGUCGCCGUCGCCCUCUCGAAGUGUAUAUUCCUUGCCAUGGAAAACGGAUGGAGCUUUUUGCAUCAAACAAUGGAUAAGUGGCCUUCUUCCAACCUUGGGUAUUCUGGCUAAUGAAUUGGAUGCUGACCACCUUGUUGAUUUCAUACACAGACUGUAAAUAAACGACAGAUAGAAAACUUCAUAGUUGGAUAUAUACAAUAAUUAAUGUAAGCUUGAAUUAUCUCUUCAUAAAAAUUGUUUUUCCACUUGAAAUUGCUUAAUUUUGAAGUACAUCUUGUGUUGGUGUGUUUAAGAACUUUGCUAACUGUAUACCACCAACUACUCUGGUUUAAGACGAUAGAGGAGCUAUAUUGAAUUAUUCUUUUAAAUGUAUAUCAUAUGUAACAUUAGCCCUGUUUUUCUGCAUUGUAAUUCUUGAUUUAUUAAUUGAAAUUAUGUCAAUUAAAGAGAAGUGGCUUAGUGCAUGGUGCAUAAAACCUGUUGCUGGAGCACUUGUUAGCC